AGAUGGAUUAGUGGCGCACGGGUGAGUAAUGCAUAGAUAACAUGCCCUUUAGUCUAGGAUAGCCACUGGAAACGGAUAAAAUAAUACUGGAUACUCCCUACGGGGGAAAGUUUUUCGCUAAAGGAUUGGUCUAUGUCCUAUCAGCUUGUUGGUGAGGUAAUGGCUCACCAAGGCUAUGACGGGUAUCCGGCCUGAGAGGGUGAACGGACACACUGGAACUGAGACACGGUCCAGACUCCUACGGGAGGCAGCAGUAGGGAAUAUUGCUCAAUGGGGGAAACCCUGAAGCAGCAACGCCGCGUGGAGGAUGAAGGUUUUCGGAUUGUAAACUCCUUUAGAAAUAGAGAAGAUA
rnacentral:rRNA from 1 species